AAACAUUACGGGGAUAUUUAUUCAAAGGUAUUAUAAAUCUUCUAUUACUAAAACAAAUUUACAGUAUUUUCCUUCCAGCAUUUCUAAAAAAGGUACAUAAAAGGCAACAACACACAAACAUAACCUGGAAAAUUAUACAAGAAGGCUGAGAAAAACAUAAGGUAGCCAUAGAAACGUUCCUUAAUUGUAUAGAGAAUCAGUUUAGUUCAGAACAAUUCAGGUAUUAGUCGAUGCUGUCUAGUGGUACUCAAGAGUUGGUUCAAUGAUCAUUAUUUAUGAAGUAUCAAUGGUCUAAUAUCAAAAUAUUAAGAGUUUGAAGAAAGAAUAGUAGGUGGCUUAGUGUGAAACAAAGGAAGAAGUCAAUAGCUUUGAGAAUUUGGUAGUACCUACAUAAAACCAUAGCAACCUUCAAAAUUAAAUUGGAUAAGAAGGCUGGGAAACAAUAUUUGGUAACCAUGUAAACUAAAAUAAGAUUACAAACUUUUACCGUUCAGAAAUCAGUCGACAAUCCACCUUAAUCAUGAGAAGUACCUCAUACAAUGAAAGUAGUACCACUUGGGGGCAAAGGUGUUAGCAUCAACAUGCUUACAGUGGAGGAUGAACUUUAUUUAAAGUUAUAAUCCAAAUGGGUUUAUAAAAAUGGAUACAGAUGUAGCACAGGAAUUGGAACAUGAAAAUCAAGACAAUCCAGUUGAAAUGAAACUUGAUAUUUCACAAACCAGACUCCUGAAGCCACCAAGAAUGGGAAUAUCUGAUUUAAAUGAUUUUGAUGUUUGUUGUUCAGGUGUAUAUCUUUGUCGUCGUUUGCAAGCAGUUCUAUACAACGUUUUUGCAGUUUUGGGGUUUUUGAUUUCCUGAUACAAAUAAUUAGGUGGAUAUCAAUCUGGUUGGACCGGAGGAUUCCUAACUCAGGCUUUUCAUUUUUCUGUUUUUGAAUUUCAUUAUUGCCUAUUAAUAAAUUUAAGUUAUUAAUAGAUAAAAAUGAAAGAGAAAACAGAAACAUCGAAGACCUGAUGAUGCAAUUAACUCAAAAUGUUGGCUGAGAAACCAGAUUUGCUAUUUUAGAAUAUAAAAUAAACGGUAAUCAAGAACCCUAAAACGUGUAAAUGUUGUAUAGAAACGCUUGUGAGUGAUGAGAAGAAUAUACCCCUUUGCAACAUGCGUCAAAAUCAUCUAAAUCACUUAUUUCAUGUGACUCCUCUUUAUUAGUGAAACAGUGGAGGAAGAUCAAAUAACAACAUUUACUAAGAUUUACAAGUUAUGGAUUUGUCUAAUGAAUGAAUUAUAAGGGCAAGACCAGUCACAGUUGCUGGAAGAAGACAUCCAAUGCCAUUCUCUGACCCUUCUCGAUUACAUUAAGGACAACUUUCAAGGAUAACAUCAAGAACAUUCCUUCUGGUAAAAUUUAAAAUUCCAGUAGAUUAACUAGAUAUCAAAAUUUUCAGUUUUCACCCCUGAAUAAUUCCUCUAAAGACCAUAUUCUCCGAAUUACAAAUUUUCUUGUAACAUUUUUGAAAAUUGGUAUACAUAAAGCCACAUAUUGGUCUGUAAAAGUUGUAAAUACAUACAAAUACUACUUCUUCAGACCAAUAUGUGCCCUCAUGUACUCCAACUUUCAAAAAUGAGACUUUUAAGCAAUGUUUUGCUUAAAAAAUUAAUGUAAUCGGUCGUCUUAAAUUAAUAUUUUGAGGAACACAGAAUUUAUUUGUAACACAUGCUUGGGAAAAUUUUUGUCAAAUUUAACCUAACUUAACCUAACUUAUUUAAUUAUUUUAAUUGGUAGAUGUCACCACAUAUGCAAGUCAUACUAUUUAUUCCUAACCUAACUUUUCUUAUUUUGGUCUAAUGAAUGUCUGGAAUUUAUUUUAAGUUUAUAUUAUCAGUGUCAAAGAAAGCUUUAUUAAUUAUUUUCCAAAAAUACAAUAUAGAAUGGCAAUUAAUGUGAUAGUAUUGUAAUUUUGUAGCUUACUGUAUGUUUAUUUUCUAACCUAAGCUAACCUUACAUAUCCUAACCUAACCUUUUGUAUCUUGGUAUAAUUAAUAAAAAUAUAAUAAAAAAAUA